UACGGAGGUUCCAAGCGUUGUUCGGAAUUACUGGGCGUAAAGGGCGCGCAGGCUGUUAUGCGAGUCUGCUGUGAAAUGUACCGGCUCAACCGGUGCCUUGCGGCGGAUACUGCAUAGCUGGAGUACUGGAGAGGGAAGUGGAAUUCCCGGUGUAGCGGUGAAGUGCGUAGAUAUCGGGAGGAACACCGGUGGCGAAGGCGGCUUUCUGGCCAGUUACUGACGCUCAUGCGCGAAAGCUGGGGUAGCGAACCGGAUUAGAUACCCGGGUA
rnacentral:rRNA from 1 species